ensembl:lncRNA
CUUAAAGUAAGACAGAGCUGUUGGUUCAGGAACUUAAUCUCAGGGAGUUCAAAUACCAGGAUUCUCUAAUAAAUACCAUUUUGCACUCCUACUGAGAAACCUGAAAUAAACUGUGGGAUACUGAAUUCAGAAAUAAAGCCCCAAACUUGCAAGCUUUCAUGUCCCUAGCUGAUCUUUCUACUAUGGCAACUUGAAUUUGGAAUUUUCUGACGGACUGAGGUAUGAUUCCCUCGCAUGAGAAUGCAUCCAUGUGAGAGAUGACACAAGAGCUUCAGCUGCACUAUGUUUUAUAAAUAUGAAAACAGUCAAGUAUUAGCUCAACUUGCAGGUAUUCCCAGUCUGCAGGUCUUCCAGAAAUGGAGCAAGGCAUCCCAGUGCUACUCAGUUUGAUGAGAGAACAAAGUGAUCUACUCAUGACAGCCAUCAUCUCUGGGAUAAUGAAGCAAACAUGGAUGGUUCCUUGGCUAGUGCACCCUUGCACAAUUUCAUCUCUUGUCAAGAGCUUACUGUGGAAAUGUGUGGCUGAGCAAAUACUACCUCAGACUACUGCACAAUGCCAACAGCUGUUGAGUUCUGGGUCACAGAGUUUUCUUUACUGUUUUUAUGAACUCUUUGAUGGAGAUGGCAUGUUAAGGUUUCAGCUAAUGAAGCUUUUAUUUCUAGCACUGUUUUCAGUGUGCUUCUGCUUUUGUAUGUUACUGCUUUUGUGCCACUCACUGUUGGAUUCUGUUCUUUGAGAAUUUACCUACAGCAAUGCAGACAAAUUUAGGAAUCAGCUUUGGGGAUGCAGCAUUAAACAAACUCUAGAAAUGAAACUUAAUGUAUUGUUUCUUUCAGAUAUCUAUAGUUCUGAAAAUAACAUUGAGGAUGAAGUAUGUCCAAAUGCACCAGAAAGGAAGUGAUUGCAUCAAACAUACAAACACGUGUGAAAUGCCAGUUGUCCAGCAAGAUGGCAAAUGUGAUUGUGCAAAGUGUGUGUACAAGCCUGAACACAAAUGAACAAGCAUGAACAUACCACAUGAGAACUUGUAAAUAUUAUGAUUACUACAAAAGUAAUUUUAUAAAAAAAUAAAUAAUACUUAUUUAUAAAAGUCACCACGUUUUGCUUAUAUGCAUUACAAUAAAAAUUGCCAUUUUCUUAAAGUAUUUGGGCAUAAUAAAGAAAGUUUUUUUUUUUUUUUGUGAGAAAAUAUGACAUUUGAGAACUUGAUGUUAUCUUAAAUAUUAUAUUUAAUUAGAGGUAAAGCUUUUAUGCAAAGACACCCACGUGUAUAACAGACCUUAAAAACUUUGGAAUGUCUUUGUACUAUUACUUAGAAUAUUAGUAUUGAACUGAUGUAGUGAUUUUGAGAAGCACAUUUUAGAUUUUUUUAUUUUUAUAGUAGAAUUGGAAGAUAGCUACAGAAACAGUCAAACGUGAAUUAAAUUUAAAAGUAGACUGUUAAACCACAAAACAUCUGAAUAAUAUUCCUUUCAGGCAGAAUUAAGAUGACCUUAGCAUGCUUUAAAUUCUUCGUAUGAGUUAAUCUCAAAUGAGGCCACUUAAAAUAUGAAAAAGAUAUGUCUACAGAGGAAAGAACUACGCAGAUUAACUGAUACUCUGCAAUAAUACUUUCAGUUCGUUGUGAUUCUCAAAAAUUAAUUAAAAUUGAGACAAACCUAUUAUGAAUGUGUUGUGCUUGUGAAAUACUGUUAU